rnacentral:lncRNA from 1 species
CAAUAUAAUAACAAAAGUACAUACUUAUAGCGUUGGAUCCAAUAAAAUCUCCAUAACCCACAAGAUUUCUAAAAUCUUCCCCUAUAGCAACACAAUAAAAUAAUCCCAUAUGUACUUCAAUUAUACUGUCUGAAGAAUGAUGGCGUUCUCCACUCAUUUUAGCACGUACUUCAGCAGUGUCAAAGGCAAACCAUCAUGGGAGAGAAAGCUCCAGCACACAAUAAAACCAAUGUAAUUAUUCCAAAAAUUGCAGGAAACCGUUUUUCCAUUUCAUUUACUGUGAAUUUAUAAUAAAUUAGCCAUCGGCUUUUUAACUGUGUUUGUAAACACGGUUAUUUCAUGAGAUCAAAAAGGGUUAUUUCUACCUUUAUAAAAUCGCC